rnacentral:lncRNA from 1 species
GACUCUUGCUUUAUUAUGGGAUGUAAAGGCCGUUCUCUUUCCAUCCUUUCUCUAGCUCCUCCUACCAUCCUGGACGGCGCCGUGGCUCUGACCCCAACUUCCCAACAGGAACCUGCCGCUGCUGUUCCUUUCUACUCCAUGGUACCUGCCUCUAUGGGCCCAGCACCUGGCUCUCUGAACCCCUAUGGAGCCGAGAUGAACCCCAUGUACAGGGGGCCAGCGGCGCUGCCAGCAGGUCUACCUCCUCAAGGCCCUGACCUGCAGCCACAUGAGGGGACCCAGCAUGAAGCAGGGGUGGCUGAACCUCCCGCAUGGAAGGCAGUUGCAGAAGAAGACUUCUACGCGAAGAUGGCAAACAUGGGCCCAGGCCGACGGUCCCGAUCGACCUCCCAGUCUUCGGCCCACAUGGGCCUGGGACGACGUUCUCGGACGACCUCGGAGUCCUCCGUGCAUUCCAUUGGCCGGGAGAGGCGAAACUCC